rfam:Rattus norvegicus chromosome 1, whole genome shotgun sequence.
GGGGAUUUAGCUCAGUGGUAGAGCGCUUGCCUAGCAAACGAAAGGCCCUGGGUUCGGUUCCCAGCUCUG